UUUGUAAUCAGGUUGAUUCAGAAUCAAAUCAUAAUCUGAAACUUCCACAUCGGAAGCUGUCAUUUGCAUUGGAAUAAGACUAACAAGGUUGCAGGAAGCAAAAUGCUUCGAUUUUUACUGAAACUGGAAACUUCCCAUGAAAUUACAGAACCUAAUAAAAAACAAAACAAAAUUUUCACAGCUAUAUGUAUCUAGCUACAGUCUGCAAAACGGGAAAUAAUUUACAAGCUUGAUGAGACAAGGGACAGCAGCUCUCUGGUGCUUGUUAUUAUUUAAUUCUUAAUUUCUUGAUAUUUGCUUCUGAGGUGAUUAUUUAAUUGACCAUGACUAGUUGCUGUUGAGCUUCAAUCCUUAUUUCUUCUUUCAUCUUUCUGAUAAAUUCUUCAAAUUUCUUGUUUAACUCUUCUGUGCUUAACGUCCCAUUUUCUUCUUCAUAUUCAUAUUCUUCUUCAUCUUCUUGAAUAGGAAACUUGUCAACGAACUCUUCGAUGGUCUCUUCUUGAUGGUCAUCAUCCUCUUCAACGAAAACUUCGCUAACUUCUUUAUUUCCUGGAGUAAUCGAGAACCCACUCUCUCUUUCCUGAUCUGGUUCAUCUUCUGCAAUGAACUGCUUUGUUUCUCUCUCUUCUACUUCUCUAGUGAUACACUCGUCACUUUCUCUUCUUUCCUCCGCAGCAACAUUCUCUUGAGCCAUCAAAUCUUCCUUCACUAGCAAUGACACUUUGGAGUACUGAUCCAAUACUGGUUGUGCAUCAUCUUCAUAACUCUUGACAGACUCAAUGCUGCUAUGGUUAGUAUACACUGAGGAAGAACUAAUCAAACCGGAGAAUUUGGCAACGAAAACUAGAAGACCAUUACAGAGAAGAAAUAUGCAGUUCUUAUCUAAGCUGUGACUAAAGAGCUGGACAGGGACAGUGGAGAAGCUAAAGUUGAAAGAAUGGAGAAAAGAUAGGCGAGCAGAGUUAGACAAGAGCAAAGAAAACACAGAAACAGAAAGCAAGAACUGGGUUAUUUUCUUAACAAACUGAUACCUUGAGAACUGGCUUAAGGUUUGGAGAUUUUGGUGAUCCAUGUUCUUGAAUUUUCUUCUGGUAUUGUGUGAAGAAGAAGGAAUCAAUGGUGGAGAGUGCAGUUAGGAGAGUGGUUGGCUGUGGGAUUGUGGGUUGAUGCAUCAAAAUCCUGAUGCCCAUGUCUUAUAUAGAGAGAGGGAAAUCAAAUAAUGGGCGAAUUUUA
rnacentral:lncRNA from 1 species